AGAGGGCUAAAUCACUAGUUUAUUAUUUUCCUCAUGGAAGUUAUACAGUUCACGUAUCACACUUAAUAUUGAAUAUAUAUAAAAAGGGUUUUCCAAAAGGACCACUUAUAAGCGAAAUACAAAACUUCACACACGAUUUUGAGCACAACAGGGCGCUCAGUGAACAGCACUUCCGGGACCUGCAUCACCAGAGGGGGACAUCUAUCUUGGCCACAAACCAUCUUUGACAGUCUUCAGCAGCAUGGUUGAAUCAGGCGCAUCAACACAUGAUAUAGACAUCGUGUCCAAAAGAAGAGCGAGACGUAAUCCUGAGGCUGAAGCCACCGAGUUUAUUUGAUCUGGAUGUGACAAGUCUUGUUUUAAGGCCCAGUGGAUCAAUGAUUGGAAAGACACCAACUGUUGAUGUUCUAUCUCAACAUUCUCCAGAUUCAUGUGAGCGAUAAACCGACUUCAUCCCUCCAACAGACACCAACUGUUGGGGUUCUAUCUCAACAUUCUCCAGAUUCAGAUGUGAGCGAUAAACCGACUUCAUCCCUCCAACAGAAACCAACUGUUGAGGUUCCAUCUCAACAUUCUCCAGAUUCAGAUGUGAGCCAUUAACUGACUUCAUCCCUCCAACAGAAACCAACUGUUGAGGUUCUAUCUCAACAUUCUCUAGAUUCAGAUGACAGCCAUAAACCGACUUCAUCCCUCCAACAGAUUGAAAGCAGGACAAAUCGCUGGAAGUGGGUAUGUCUCAAGCUUCUUCCACUUGGUCCACUCCAAAGCGGGGUAAAUAAAUAAUCUACAUCAUUUACUAGAAUAUUAUAUUACGUUUUGCACCUUUUCACUGUAUUAUAGUCCUUAUUCCUUCAGUAAGAAAUUGUAUUUUGUCUCCUUUAUGACAACUGCAAAGGGGAAGAAGUGGAAGCAGUUGAAUGACACAUGUUGCAUUUUGUAACUGGCAACAAAGUACCAGGUAAAAAAGAUUGUGAAGCCUGCCUCCAUAAAGAACUAGUAGCUCUACAGGACAGAGAUUGGCUUGCCAUCAAGUACUACAUCCAUAACAGAAUUAUAUUAAAAAAAGGGAAAAAAAAUGUUUUCCCACAUCUUCUGUGGUAGUUUGAGUAUGUUACCAGCAAUUAAAAAAGCAAAAUAAACA